UACGGGGGGAGCAAGCGUUGUUCGGAUUUACUGGGCGUAAAGGGCGCGUAGGCGGGCCAGCCAGUCUGUGGUGAAAGCCUCCAGCUUAACUGGAGAAGUGCCGUGGAUACUGCUGGCCUCGAGGAGGGUAGGGGCAUCUGGAACGGUCGGUGGAGCGGUGAAAUGCGUUGAUAUCGACCGGAACUCCGGUGGCGAAGGCGAGGUGCUGGGCCCUUUCUGACGCUGAGUGCGCGAAAGCCAGGGGAGCAAACGGG
rnacentral:rRNA from 1 species